rnacentral:rRNA from 1 species
AAUGAACGCUGGCGGCGUGCUUAACACAUGCAAGUCGAACGAGGCUGAGGGGGCAACUCCUCAGUUUAGUGGCGGACGGGUGAGUAACACGUGGGUAACCUGCCCGGAAGUGGGGAAUACCUCGGGGAAACUCGAGCUAAUACCGCAUAACAUCUUUAGGACGAUGGUCCUGACGAUCAAAGCGGGGUCGCAAGAUCUCGCGCUACCGGAUGGGCCCGCGCCUGAUUAGCUAGUGGUGGGGUAACGGCUCACCAAGGCUUCGAUCAGUAACCGGCCUGAGAGGGCGAUCGGUCACACCGGAACUGAGACACGGUCCGGACUCCUACGGGAGGCAGCAGUGGGGAAUCUUGCGCAAUGGGCGAAAGCCUGACGCA